rnacentral:rRNA from 1 species
CGAGCGAACGGGGAGGAGCCCAGAGCCUGAAUCAGCAUGUGUGUUAGUGGAAGCGUCUGGAAAGGCGCGCGAUACAGGGUGACAGCCCCGUACACAAAAGCGCAUGUGCUGUGAGCUCGAUGAGUAGGGCGGGACACGUGGUAUCCUGUCUGAAUAUGGGGGGACCAUCCUCCAAGGCUAAAUACUCCUGACUGACCGAUAGUGAACCAGUACCGUGAGGGAAAGGCGAAAAGAACCCCGGCGAGGGGAGUGAAAAAGAACCUGAAACCGUGUACGUACAAGCAGUGGGAGCCCCACCACCAAAGCAUUCUCUGGUGUUGAAGGCCCUGCAAAGCAGCAUCGCGGUGGCGGAGCGUCGUUUGCGACGCCCAACACACAAAACAAGCGGUGAAUGCUUUGGGGUGGGGUGACUGCGUACCUUUUGUAUAAUGGGUCAGCGACUUAUAUUCUGUAGCAAGGUUAACCGAAUAGGGGAGCCGGAGGGAAACCGAGUCUUAAUUGGGCGUUAAGUUGCAGGGUAUAGACCCGAAACCCGGUGAUCUAGCCAUGGGCAGGUUGAAGGUUGGGUAACACUAACUGGAGGACCGAACCGACUAAUGUUGAAAAAUUAGCGGAUGACCUGUGGCUGGGGGUGAAAGGCCAAUCAAACCGGGAGAUAGCUGGUUCUCCCCGAAAGCUAUUUAGGUAGCGCCUCGUGAAUUCAUCUCCGGGGGUAGAGCACUGUUUCGGCUAGGGGGCCAUCCCGGCUUACCAACCCGAUGCAAACUGCGAAUACCGGAGAAUGUUAUCACGGGAGACACACGGCGGGUGCUAACGUCCGUCGUGAAGAGGGAAACAACCCAGACCGCCAGCUAAGGUCCCAAAGUCAUGGUUAAGUGGGAAACGAUGUGGGAAGGCCCAGACAGCCAGGAUGUUGGCUUAGAAGCAGCCAUCAUUUAAAGAAAGCGUAAUAGCUCACUGGUCGAGUCGGCCUGCGCGGAAGAUGUAACGGGGCUAAACCAUGCACCGAAGCUGCGGCAGCGAACGUAUCACCCAAGACAACUUUACGGAGUUGACGAUUGACGGAGCGAAGCGACGUCAAAGCGUUCAUUAAAGUCGAGUUGGCUUAGGGAUACGUUCGUUGGGUAGGGGAGCGUUCUGUAAGCCUGUGAAGGUGUGUCGUGAGGCAUGCUGGAGGUAUCAGAAGUGCGAAUGCUGACAUAAGUAACGAUAAAGCGGGUGAAAAGCCCGCUCGCCGGAAGACCAAGGGUUCCUGUCCAACGUUAAUCGGGGCAGGGUGAGUCGACCCCUAAGGCGAGGCCGAAAGGCGUAGUCGAUGGGAAACGGGUUAAUAUUCCCGUACUUGGUGUUACUGCGAAGGGGGGACGGAGAAGGCUAUGUUGGCCGGGCGACGGUUGUCCCGGUUUAAGCGUGUAGGUGUGUGUUCCAGGUAAAUCCGGUUCACUUUAACACUGAGGCGUGACGACGAGGCACUACGGUGCUGAAGCAACAAAUGCCCUGCUUCCAGGAAAAGCCUCUAAGCAUCAGGUAACACGAAAUCGUACCCCAAACCGACACAGGUGGUCAGGUAGAGAAUACCAAGGCGCUUGAGAGAACUCGGGUGAAGGAACUAGGCAAAAUGGUGCCGUAACUUCGGGAGAAGGCACGCUGACACGUAGGUGAAGUGAUUUACUCAUGGAGCUGAAGUCAGUCGAAGAUACCAGCUGGCUGCAACUGUUUAUUAAAAACACAGCACUGUGCAAACACGAAAGUGGACGUAUACGGUGUGACGCCUGCCCGGUGCCGGAAGGUUAAUUGAUGGGGUCAGCG